UAGAGUUUGAUCAUGGCUCAGGAUGAACGCUGGCGGCGUGCCUAACACAUGCAAGUCGAACGAACCUAAUCUUCGGAAAGGGUUAGUGGCGCACGGGUGAGUAACACGUAGGUGACCUGCCCCAGAGUGGGGGAUAACUUCUCGAAAGAGAAGCUAAUACCGCAUACGCUCAGCCAUUCAGUUGGUUGAGUAAAGCUCCGGCGCUCUGGGAGGGGCCUGCGUCCGAUUAGCUAGUUGGUGAGGUAAUGGCUCACCAAGGCAAUGAUCGGUAGCUGGUCUGAGAGGACGAUCAGCCACACUGGCACUGACACACGGGCCAGACUCCUACGGGAGGCAGCAGUGAGGAAUAUUGGUCAAUGGGCGAAAGCCUGAACCAGCAACGCCGCGUGAGGGAUGAAGGCCUUCGGGUCGUAAACCUCUUUUCUGGGAGACGAGACAAGGACGGUAUCCCAGGAAUAAGUCUCGGCUAACUACGUGCCAGCAGCCGCGGUAAAACGUAGGAGGCAAGCGUUAUCCGGAUUUACUGGGCGUAAAGCGCACGCAGGCGGCUGCGCAAGUCGGACGUGAAAGCUCCUGGCUCAACUGGGAGAGGUCGUUCGAAACUGCGCGGCUUGAGGUUGGAAGAGGAGAGCGGAAUUCCCGGUGUAGUGGUGGAAUGCGUAGAUAUCGGGAGGAACACCAGUGGCGAAAGCGGCUCUCUGGUCCACACCUGACGCUCAGGUGCGAAAGCGUGGGUAGCGAACGGGAUUAGAUACCCCGGUAGUCCACGCUGUAAACGAUGCGAACUAGGUGUUGGUAGUAUUAAACCUAUCAGUGCCGUAGCUAACGCGAUAAGUUCGCCGCCUGGGGACUACGGCCGCAAGGCUAAAACUCAAAGGAAUUGACGGGGGCCCGCACAAGCAGCGGAGCGUGUGGUUUAAUUCGAUGCAACACGAAGAACCUUACCUGGGCUUGACAUGGUCGUAGUAGUGAACCGAA
rnacentral:rRNA from 1 species